AAACACUAGCUCACACAGUCAGUGUGAUUUUUUUUUUAAACCAGUAAAGGGGUUGAAACUGAAACAGUAACAUCGUCUGAGGCUGAUUGUGAAAACAAGAAAAGAUAAUUGGGGGUGGGGGAUUGGGGCCUGGAGUACAAAUUACCAGAAACCCUAGCGGUGCCCCAUCCAUAUGGAAAUGUACCUCAUGCUCACGGUUAAAUAUGGUGGUGACUUUAAUGUUUUGGGGCUGUUUUUCUGCCAGAGGAACUGGACAUUUUAUUAGGAUACAUGGCAUCAUGCACUCUAUCAAAUCAACAGAUACUAAAACCUGACUGCCUCUGCCAGAAAGCUAAAAAUGGGCAUGGUUAGAUCUUCCAGCAGGACAAUGAUCCAAAACACAUCAAAAUCAACACAAAAAUGGUUUACUGACCAGGACCUGACAAAAUCAAGGUCCUGCCAUGGCCAUCCCAGUCCCCUGACUUCAAACCCAUAGAAAACCUGUGCGGUGAACUGAAGAGGAGAGUCCACCAGCGUGAGCCUCGUAAUUUGAAGGAUCUGGAGAGAUUUUGUAUGGAUGAAUUUUCUCAUAUCCCUUGACAUGUAUUCUCCAACCUCAUCAGGUAUUAUUGAAGACUCAGAGCUGUUAUUUGGCAAAGGGAGUUUGGACAAAUUACUGAUUAAAAGAUGCCAGUAAUUGUUGCACACAUAUUUAACAAAGAUAAUUUUUUUAUAUAAAUCUACGUUUUGUUAGAAAUUGUUUGAUAUCCAUGAGAGCAGAGUAUUUUUGUGAAUUUUUUAAAUAAAAGAUCAAAAGUUUGAACAAUAAAGUCCAUUUUUUACAGCCUACCUUGCUCAUAUUUGCCAAGGGUGCUAAUAUUAGUGGAGGGCACUGUAGCUUACUAUGUGAUCAGCCCAUCAACCUUAUCACAUAUGCAGUUUAUCCCACUUCAGGUAUAGAUUUACUAAUGUAAAAUUAAUGCAUGAAUGCAUAUAUUGUCCAAAAAUAUGUUGUACUGUAU
ensembl:lncRNA